rnacentral:rRNA from 1 species
UCCGUAGGUGGAUAAUUAAGUCAGAGGUGAAAUCCUGCAGCUCAACUGUAGAAUUGCCUUUGAUACUGGUUGUCUUGAGUCAUUAUGAAGUGGUUAGAAUAUGUAGUGUAGCGGUGAAAUGCAUAGAUAUUACAUAGAAUACCAAUUGCGAAGGCAGAUCACUAAUAAUGUACUGACACUGAUGGACGAGAGCGGUGGGAAGCGAACA